rnacentral:tRNA from 1 species
GGGAAUAUGGCUUAGUGGUAGAGUGCUUGCCUAACAUGCAUGAAGCCCUGGGUUCAAUUCCUCAAUACCA